rnacentral:rRNA from 1 species
CAGUCGAGCUGGCAUGAAAUCAGCCUCGCAUUUUGGGGUACACAAUUCCUUCUGCGGUGGUGCACUUUUGUAUCAGCUGGUUAACAUCAAUUUUGAUUGUCAUGAAAAGGCUGGAGGGAUGUGGCUCCUUUGGGAGUGUUAUAACCUUUAGCGGAAUAUGGUGAUCGGGAUUGAGGUUUGCAACGAUACCCUUAGUGGGGCUGUUCCGUCUGGCACUUUCUUGCUCGACUUGGCUGGUGGCGUUACAUUGUUGUGGCAAGCUC